rnacentral:lncRNA from 1 species
GCCGUCGGGACCUAUUGUGCUGACAUUUACAUUGUUUACAUAUAGAAAAGUUUGUUUUUUUCUGCUUAUAAUGUCGUUUUCUAAAGAUAUUAGUGAACAAAAUCGAUUUGCUAACAAUAUUUAGUAUAUUUUAAAUGUGCUAAAAUUGGAUUCAACAGCAAAAGUCGCAUAAAUAACAUAUAAAUGACGAAUUUGUUUACCUAUUACAAAUGGGGUUAUGUGGUUGUAACUGUUUAUUUUGGGAAUAAAAUGAAAAUGAUCAAUUAAACGACUGGAAAACUAUAGUGAAGUGAAGAACAUCUUGAAGUUCCAAUGAUGUUUCAAGAUGAGGUAAAUCGACAUAAUUGUAUGUUAGAAGGGCAGAGAAUAUGAAGAAAUGUUAUUGCUGCAUAUUUAGUGUAGUGAAAUACAAACUUCAAACAUUAUAAUAUAUUUUUUUAUUUCAAACAUUUCAUAUGAUUAUGAAAGAACAUCUUUCUUUUUAAAACAAUGAAGAAGUGAAGAACAUAAUAAAGUUCCAACGAAAAUGAUUCCAGAUGAGGAAAAUCGAAAUAAUGGUUGUAUGUUACAUGUAUAGAGAAUACGAAGAAAUGUUAUUGCUGCAAACUUAGUGUAGUGAAUUAAAAACUUAUUGUCAAAUACAAAUCAAUUUAUUUCAUACUUUUAUAAUAUAUAGUGAUAUAAUUUUAUAUGUGUUCAAAUAAAAAUAUUAAUAAAUAAAAUACAAUAAACACAAAUCAUGUAUAUCUUACAAUGAAUUACAAAAUCAAAAA